GAAUCAUCUUCAGUCUCUACAACCUCAACAACAGGUAUGGUGAAUAAAAGGCAAAUAAUGAGGGUCAUUAUCAAAAUACAAAGUGGCAUGAAUCCUGAGGACCCAAAAGUCACUGAAGCCAUCUUAAAUCAGGUCAAGAAUAAUCUUUUGAAACAAAAUGUUACAGGAAACCUUCAGUGGACAAUAAAUAAUGGAAGUAUUUUCAAUAGGCUAAACACUGAUGAACAG